rnacentral:rRNA from 1 species
CCGUCGUGCUGGGGAUAGAGCAUUGUAAUUAUUGCUCUUCAACGAGGAAUUCCUAGUAAGCGCAAGUCAUCAGCUUGCGUUGAUUACGUCCCUGCCCUUUGUACACACCGCCCGUCGCUAGUACCGAUUGAAUGGCUUAGUGAGGCCUC